rnacentral:rRNA from 1 species
GAUGAACGCUGGCGGCGUGCCUAAUACAUGCAAGUCGAGCGAACGGACGAGAAGCUUGCUUUUCUGAUGUUAGCGGCGGACGGGUGAGUAACACGUGGAUAACCUACCUAUAAGACUGGGAUAACUUCGGGAAACCGGAGCUAAUACCGGAUAAUAUUUUGAACCGCAUGGUUCAAAAGUGAAAGACGGUCUUGCUGUCACUUAUAGAUGGAUCCGCGCUGCAUUAGCUAGUUGGUAAGGUAACGGCUUACCAAGGCAACGAUGCAUAGCCGACCUGAGAGGGGGGUCGGCCACACUGGAACUGAGACACGGUCCAGACUCCUACGGGAGGCAGCAGUAGGGAAUCUUCCGCAAUGGGCGAAAGCCUGACGGAGCAACGCCGCGUGAGUGAUGAAGGUCUUCGGAUCGUAAAACUCUGUUAUUAGGGAAGAACAUAUGUGUAAGUAACUGUGCACAUCUUGACGGUACCUAAUCAGAAAGCCACGGCUAACUACGUG